UUUUGUUAAAAAUUCAUAUCUUAUCAUUAUGAUUUUUUCAUACAUAAACAUAGUCUCAUUACACUGUAUAAAUACAAUACUUUAACUCGUUAGUAAUCAGUAAGACGAAGACUACAGAACUUAAACCACAGAAGAAGUUUCAACCAAUUGUUCGCUAUAAAGUGCAAGAAAUCUAUACCAUAAAGAUGUCGAAAGUAAUAUUUGCAUUAAUUGCACUACUCGUUGUUAUUGUGAUGAUGGGAAACGCUGUCGAGGCUUGCAAAGAAGAUUUACGUGAUUGUCAAAACGAUAGCGACUGCUGUUCAGGGUCAUGUGCAACACAUUUAGAUUUUCUAGGAGUUCGUUUCUGCGCUGUAAGUUAUGGAAAAUAAAAAAAAAUUCGUGUGUAUACUUCUGUACACGCGUUAGAAGUUUACUUCUUUAUGUAGGAUAAAUCCUACAUAAAUAAUGCACUAAAUAAUGAAUUUGUUUCUGUACUUAAAUUAAAAUAGAAUUCAUUUGAUAUAAAUAAA